rnacentral:lncRNA from 1 species
GAGAGUCAUCUGUGUUGUCAAAUAUAUCAAGAGUCCAUUCCUUGUUAUUGCUGAGUACUAUUCUGCCAUGUAGAUGGACCACAUAUUGUUCAUCCACUCAUCUAUUGAUGGGCAUUUGGAUUGUUUCCAGUUUGGGAAACUUACAAAGAACGUUGAUAUGCACAUUCAUGCACACGUAUUUGUGUAGACAUAUUUUUUUUUUCCUUUGGGGUAAAUACUUACGAUAAAAAUAGAUCAUGUAGUAAGUUUAUGUUUAACUUUAUAGACUUCUUUACCAUAGGGAAAAGGGGCUAUAUUGCUGGUUCAGCUGAAAUAGCACCUCUUAGCAACCUUUGUAUGGAAAUGGCUUGACUCAGAAUUGAGGUACUCCAUGUCUUUUGUUCUUAGCUUCAGGUUCUGUUUUGUUACAAUGCCCAUAAAUGUGAAAAACAAAACCAAAAAUCUUACAGGGUCCCUCAGAAUCUGGGAAGCAAGUAUCAAAUAUAUGAGAAAAUGAUUCAAGAAAAAACUCUUUUGAAAGGAUUCUGGGCAUACUGAGGCUUUUGCACAAACCUGCUGGUGCUCUAGAGACCUGUUUUUCAGUGGAAAUCAUGUAGAUGAGGGAGAAAUUACACCUCACACUCACAAAGGAUGUGUGGAGCCUCCAGAAUAAGUGAUUUAUAGCUGGAUAGUUUUCCAAAAGCAUAAUAACAACCAGCAAUUUUAUUUUUUUUAUUUUAUUUUUGUCUUUUUAGGGUUGCACCUGCAGUAUAUGGAGGUUCCCAGGCAAGGGGUCAAAUCAGAGCUGUAGCUGCUGGCCUACACCACAGCCACAGCAACACGGGAUCCAAGCCACGUCUGCCACCUACACCACAGCUCAGGGCAGUGCCAGAUCCUUAACCUACUGAGCGAGGCCAGGGAUCAAACCCGCCUCAUCAUGGAUACUAGUUGGGUUCAUUAACCUCUGAGCCACGACGGGAACUCCUAGCCAGCAAUUUUAAAAUCAUGUAUUUGUACUAGGCUGACUAACUUACAUACUUUCAUAUACCACAUACUCCAUGUGAAAUAUUAGUAUGAAUAUUUUUAACCUGCUAAUUCACAUUGGAGAAUAUCUCACAUACAUUUACUCAUUUGAUUCUCAUAGAAUCGCCAUCAUGGAGUCCAGGAAAAAAAAUUUCCCUGUGUUACAGUUGUAAAAAGUAGACCUCAACAAAGUUUAGGACAGGCUGGUAUAGUAGACAGAGUUCCUACACUGAGGGUGAAGAGAGCAGGGUUGUGGCAAUGCAUGUCUUUGUCAUUAAUUACUGUCAUUUAAGCCUUCUAGGCAUUAAUUUCCCUGAUGAGGUAAAAAGUUUGGGUGGCAUCAGUCUUUUCAAAUUAUGUUCUUAGAAAUAUGGUGUUUUCAAGGUUAUAAAUGAAUGAAUGGGUGAAUAAAGUCAAAUAUGGACCAUUUAAUUCCCUUCAGGAGAGUCACAAUACAUGUACCAUAUAAAAGCCUCUGAGAAAUCAUAAAGAGCCCUAUUUAACUUGGGUCCCCUAACAUUUCCCAAAGUGAUUUGCCCUAAAAUUUUUAUUGCCUAUUAAUCUUCUAGUAAUUAAUUCCUCAAGUAAUUCUUCUAAGAAAACACAAUAAUUUUAAGUAAAUAAUUUUAGCUUUGGAAGCCCUGACAUUCUCUCUGCUUUGAAAGAUGUUACUGUCCCACAUUCACAGAGCAAAGCAUGGAAGAAUAGAGCUGAGAAGCUGGGUUUCCUAACUCCUUGUCCACUGCUGUUUCCAUGGCAUUAACUAGACCAACCAGAUCUUUCCUUAUGAUGAUGGCACAUCGAAAGCUGCUGAGGAGCAAGUUUUUAUGACAGCAAAGUUUCUUGGCCUGAUUCUGACCGGGAAUGAAUUUACCCACAUGAAUGGUUUCUUCCAGUUACGUUUUCCCUUAGAGGCAGCACCUACAGGACCAAGUUUCUAUAGAAAAUGCCUGAGUUGCCUAUUUAAGGUUGUUUGAGGAAUCUGCUUAUACUGCCUGGUGAGGUGUGUUUAAACUGAAAACUUUAUUUGAAAAUAGCAAGGCUUAUUUCAUGCAGACAAAAUACAACAUGGGAAUAUUGAACCACCAGGCAAUUUCUUUUGUAGGCUUUGUUUCAGGCCACGACUAAUCUGGUCUCCAAAUCAGCAGGUGGAAGCAGUUUCUAUGAAGUCUGCCUCAGACUCCCUCAUUUAGAUAUUUUCAUGGCACUAGAAAACAGUACCUAGAGAAUCCCAAAGAACAAAUGAGAGGAAACGAUCCCCUGAUUUCUCACCCCCUGUUCUGUCACUAAGACAGCAGGGUCCUUGUCUCACACAGAGGUAGUCUCACAACAACUCUAUUUUAGAGGAAAAGCAGAAGUCAGUAAUUUUCUCCCUAGUGCUUCUGGUUUUCCUUUAAUUUCUCCAGGACAAUAAAAAUAAUGACAUUCUGAACAAUAUGAAGAUUGAGCUUUUCUCUAAAUAUCUAUAUUAUAGGACUAAACAAUGAAACUCUUUCAGCCUCCAGAUUUCAAGAAGUGUGUUGCAAAUCCAUUAAAUAUAUUUAAGUGUGUAUAUUAUGGUAGAAAAACAAUUGGUCUUUAUGGUAUAUUAUUUUAUCCUAAUUCUGAAGGAGAAAGAAGAUGCAGGCAUAUGAAAUGCGCAAAAUAUGCAACUGAGAUUGGUUUCAAAACAAGUUUAAAGGGGUUGAAAUCCAGCCACUAAGGUAUUCAAACUAACAUACCAACUGUGGGCAAAUUUAAAUUCUUUUUUUCCAUCCUCAAACAAGGCUACUGAGAUCCACGUGUUGACAGAUGUUUGAGCUAUGUAAGAUUCAGAACUGAAUUUUUAAGAACUCCACUGAGAGUCUCAUGCACUUACUAUCAAUCUCUCUUUUCUAAAGAUGUAGGGUGUAUACCCAUUUAUUUUCCACAUGAACUAUCUAAGAUUUCUUAAUAAUAAAUGGCUUGAAUAAUAGGCAUCAUUUGGAAUUCCUCAUGAAAGGAAGCUGAAUUCUGCCACUGGAUGAUUCUGAUUUUGCUCACAAUAAUGGAAAACAGGUAAAGUGUGUGAGAGUAGAUUGAGAGAGGCAGGCUAUUCUAUUAUCUCUUUUUAAUAUGCUAGGCUAUUUUCAACUAUUAAACUUGCAUGCAUUUUAUUUAAUGUGAAAUAAAUAAUAACACCUCUCCUUCCCUCAUUCACUUUUCUCCAUCUUGAAAAGCUCUUGUUUCAGGUUGCCAUGGUGAUGGUGCCACUCUGAUAUUUGUUUAAGUGAAACACUUUCAUCUUACUGACUUGAAGACAGGUACUAGAAGGGCCAGAAGAAAAACUGACAGCAUAGCCUGGUAGCUGGAAAAAAAAAAAAGGACCCCUGGUCUGUGGCCAACAGACAAUUGCCUUGAUAAGAGAAAUCACCCUAUAAGAAUGGGGGGGCACUUUCUCUCUUCCCGUGCAGUUUAUUUUCUUUUUCAAUUGUGUUUUAUUUCAUUAUGUUUUGUUUUAGGAAAGAGUAAGAAAUUGUGUUAGUUAAAUAGGCGGUGUUUAAAACUGACGUCAUUUGUAGGUAUAAGUUAGCUCUUUGGAUUUAAGGGGACCCUUUGAAGAUCAGGAAAUCUUUAAGAGAGAGCCCCUUUUUGCCCUAAGAAGUGAAAGAGAAAGACACCAUUUAUAAUGAAGGAGGAACUCCUUAAAUUGUUCCUAGGUUCAUAAUUAUGACCAACGCACUGAAAUUGAGUUUGAGAAUUUUUGCCUGCAGUGAAUGUCAUGAUGUCUUCGUUCAGAAAAAUCAACAAAAUUUCCAAUUCCUACACAACUUAAGGGUUUUUGGCUGCAGCGAAUAUCAUGAUGUCUUUGUUCAGAAAAAUCAACAAAAUUUCCAAUUGCUGCUUAAGGGUUGACUGCUGUAUACAGUUCCAGCCUGUGAACUCUUGCAUGUACAAUGGGAGUGAGAAUCACUUGUGAUGAACAUCAAUUCACAGAGGCACUAUCUCUCAUUAACUAACUGCAUUUAACUCUAAAAUAUUAUGAGUUAAGUGUUAAGAGAUAGCCUAUAUUUAUACUUGUACUUUAUUUCUCUGCUAAUGCUGCCUUGACAAAAUAGCACAGAGGCUAACGAAUAGCCUUUGGAAUCAAAUAUACUGCAGUCCACACAUUAGUACUCUUAAGUGGAGGGCAGCUGCUAAGACUCCCGUCAGUGAGCCUUAGAGAGGGAGCUUCUUCCCCAGAGUCAUGACUGAUGUAGGGACAUCCUUGCAGUGUGUCUUAAGGCAAUGCAGGGUUGCCUACCUCAAGAUGAAGAAAGUGUGUUUCAGUGAACAAAAUUCCAGACCACUUUUUUUGCCACUCAGGCUCUGUUUGUGCCUUAACUUGCUUAUGAAUAAAAAUUAGCAUUAUGUGACCUACUAACAGAGGUAUUAUGAGGAUUGCACUUAGGACAGUUUGUGUGAUGGGGUGUCUUCACUUAGCUUUUCAAUGAUAAUAAAUAUACCUGAGGGAGUGUUACAGGUCACUCCUCUUGUGCUUG